GGGGGGGGCAAGCGUUGUUCGGAAUUACUGGGCGUAAAGGGUUCGUAGGUGGCCUACUAAGUCAGACGUGAAAUCCCUCAGCUUAACUGGGGAACUGCGUCUGAUACUGGGGGGCUUGAGGACAGGAGAGGAACGCGGAAUUCCAGGUGUAGCGGUGAAAUGCGUAGAUAUCUGGAGGAACACCGGUGGCGAAGGCGGCGUUCUGGACUGUUUCUGACACUGAGGAACGAAAGCCAGGGGAGCAAACGGGAUUAGAUACCCCGGUAGUCCUGGCCCUAAACGAUGAAUGCUUGGUGUGGCGGGUAUCGAUCCCUGCCGUGCCGCAGUUAACGCGUUAAGCAUUCCGCCUGGGGAGUACGGUCGCAAGGCUG
rnacentral:rRNA from 1 species